GCCGCCUUAGCUCAAAUGGGAGAGCGUAAGAUUGAAGCAAAGCAGCUCAGCUAGCAUUCAUCCUUAAGGUACUCGGUUCGAUACCGAGAGGCGGCA